GACGAACGCGGGCGGCGUGCCUAAUACAUGCAAGUAGAACGCUGAAGAGAGGAGCUUGCUCUUCUUGGAUGAGUUGCGAACGGGUGAGUAACGCGUAGGUAACCUGCCUUGUAGCGGGGGAUAACUAUUGGAAACGAUAGCUAAUACCGCAUAACAAUGGGUGACACAUGUCAUUUAUUUGAAAGGGGCAAUUGCUCCACUACAAGAUGGACCUGCGUUGUAUUAGCUAGUAGGUGAGGUAACGGCUCACCUAGGCGACGAUACAUAGCCGACCUGAGAGGGUGAUCGGCCACACUGGGACUGAGACACGGCCCAGACUCCUACGGGAGGCAGCAGUAGGGAAUCUUCGGCAAUGGGGGCAACCCUGACCGAGCAACGCCGCGUGAGUGAAGAAGGUUUUCGGAUCGUAAAGCUCUGUUGUAAGUCAAGAACGAGUGUGAGAGUGGAAAGUUCACACUGUGACGGUAGCUUACCAGAAAGGGACGGCUAACUACGUGCCAGCAGCCGCGGUAAUACGUAGGUCCCGAGCGUUGUCCGGAUUUAUUGGGCGUAAAGCGAGCGCAGGCGGUUUGAUAAGUCUGAAGUUAAAGGCUGUGGCUCAACCAUAGUUCGCUUUGGAAACUGUCAAACUUGAGUGCAGAAGGGGAGAGUGGAAUUCCAUGUGUAGCGGUGAAAUGCGUAGAUAUAUGGAGGAACACCGGUGGCGAAAGCGGCUCUCUGGUCUGUAACUGACGCUGAGGCUCGAAAGCGUGGGGAGCGAACGGG
rnacentral:rRNA from 1 species